rnacentral:rRNA from 1 species
AUUGUCAGGCUGCAACCCGCCCUGCAUGAAGUCGGAAUUGCUAGUAAUCGCGGAUCAGAAUGCCGCGGUGAAUACGUUCCCGGGCCUUGUACACACCGCCCGUCACACCAUGAGAGCCGGUAACACCCGAAGUCAGGAGCCUAACCGCAAGGAGGGCGCUGCCGAAGGUGGGAUUGGUAAUUGGGGUGAAGUCGUAACAAGGUAAC